CUGGCGGCGUGCCUAAUACAUGCAGUCGAACGCACUCUCGUUUAGAUUGAAGGAGCUUGCUCCUGAUUGAUAAACAUUUGAGUGAGUGGCGGACGGGUGAGUAACACGUGGGUAACCUGCCCUAAAGUGGGGGAUAACAUUUGGAAUCAGAUGCUAAUACCGCAUAAAACCUAACACCGCAUGGUGUAGGGUUGAAAGAUGGUUUCGGCUAUCACUUUAGGAUGGACCCGCGGUGCAUUAGUUAGUUGGUGAGGUAAAGGCUCACCAAGACCGUGAUGCAUAGCCGACCUGAGAGGGUAAUCGGCCACACUGGGACUGAGACACGGCCCAGACUCCUACGGAGGCAGCAGUAGGGAAUCUUCCACAAUGGACGAAAGUCUGAUGGAGCAACGCCGCGUGAGUGAAGAAGGUUUUCGGAUCGUAAAACUCUGUUGUUGGAGAAGAAUGUAUCUGAUAGUAACUGAUCAGGUAGUGACGGUAUCCAACCAGAAAGCCACGGCUAACUACGUG
rnacentral:rRNA from 1 species